CUUUACUGCAGCUUCACAGUGGCAUUAGGAAAUGGAUGUGUAGGAUAGGCGGGAGCCUUUGAAGUUCGGGCGUCAGCUCGGAUGGAGGCACCGGUGAAAUACCGCCCUUACGUUUUCUGAUGUCUAACUUCGUCCCGUGACCCGGGAUAAGGACCCUGUGUGGCGGGCAGUUUGACUGGGGCGGUCGCCUCCCAAAGAGUAACGGAGGCGCGCGAUGGUGGGCUCAAGCUGGUCGGAAAUCAGCUUUCGAGUGCAAUGGCAUAAGCCCGCCUGACUGCGAGACCGACAGGUCGAGCAGAGACGAAAGUCGGCCAUAGUGAUCCGGUGGUUCCACGUGGAAGGGCCAUCGCUCAACGGAUAAAAGGUA
rnacentral:rRNA from 1 species